GCUAACUGAUAUUUCGAGGAGUGGAAUGAUAGGGUAACGCCUUGAAACGCUCCCUCUGAUACUGCGACAAAAGAUGAGAACGUGUAAUAGUUCGAUUCUGAUGCAGCUCGCUAAAGUCAGCUGUAUGCACUCGCUAUACCGAGGUCAACACAAGAAACAACGGUAUGGCAAAAGCGAACCAGAGGUGGUCGUGAGUGAUAGGCUGGGAGUCUAUAAA
rnacentral:ncRNA from 1 species